rnacentral:rRNA from 1 species
CAGCAGCCGCGGGAAUACGGAGGGGGCUAGCGUUGUUCGGAAUUACUGGGCGUAAAGCGCACGUAGGCGGCUUGGUAAGUUAGAGGUGAAAGCCUGGAGCUCAACUCCAGAAUUGCCUUUAAGACUGCCGAGCUAGCAGGUGAGAGAGGUAAGUGGAAUUCCGAGUGUAGAGGUGAAAUUCGUAGAUAUUCGGAAGAACACCAGUGGCGAAGGCGGCUUACUGGCUCAUACUGGACGCUGAGGUGCGAAAGCGUGGGGAGCAAACAGGAUUAGAUACCCCUGUAGUCCCUGUCUCUUAUAC